AGCAGCCGCGGUAAUUCCAGCUCCAAUAGCGUAUAUUAAAGUUGUUGCAGUUAAAAGCUCGUAGUUGAAUUUCGGGAUUGGCGCAUCGGUCGUGCCUCACGGGGUAUGAACUGGUGCAGUCAAUUUCUCACCUUCUGGAGAACCGCGAUGUCCUUAAUUGGAUGCCGCGGGGAACCAGGACCUUUACUUUGAAAAAUUGAGUGUUUAAAGCAGGCAUUUUUGCUUGAAUACAUUAGCAUGGAAUAAUAAAAUAGGACGGCAUGGUUCUAUUUUGUUGGUUUCUAGGACCACCGUAAUGAUUAAUAGGGAUAGUUGGGGGCAUUAGUAUUCAAUUGUCAGAGGUGAAAUUCUUGGAUUUAUUGAAGACUAACUACUGCGAAAGCAUUUGCCAAGGAUGUUUUCAUUAAUCAAGAACGAAAGUUAGAGGAUCGAAGACGAUCAGAUACCGUCGUAGUCUUAACCAUAAACCUAUAGCCGACUAGGAAUCAGACGAUGCUAAUUUUUAAUGUACUUCGUUUGG
rnacentral:misc_RNA from 1 species